AUAAUUCUCAUAUUUUGAACAUCGAAUAAUUUAGCUGUUAUGCACUUGCAGGAGAGGAUAAAAGCAGGUAAGGAACUGCUUGAGGCCAAGAGAAUUCAGGAAGAAAAUGAAAGAAAACGCUCUAUAGCCUUGCGGAAAGCAGAGAAAGAGAAAGAGAAUAGAGAGAGAGAUAAAAUUCGUCAGAAACUACAGCAAGAUAAG